UACAGUGUUUCUGGAUGCAUUCUAGGAAGAUUUUUCCUUAAAGGAGAAAGCCAUAUGGUCUAUAACAUAAAACUACUCCAUUCCCGCUUCCACCCCCAGAGAGAGGAGGGGCAGGGAAGAGGGGAGGCAGAUUCUGGCUGUAUUUCCUUUCUUUGUUUCUAUUUCUUUCUUUCUUUCUUUCUUUCUUUCUUUCUUUCUUUCUUUCUUUCUUUCUUUAAGUUUAUUUAUUUUGAGAGGGAAAGAGUGCUCGAGGGGGAGGGGCAGAGAGAGGGGGAGGGCCAGAGAGAGGAAUUCAGAGAGACAGAGAGAGAGGGAGAGAGAGAGAGACAGAGAGGGAAAGAAUCCCAAGCAGGCUCCACACUGUCAGCGAGGGUUGGGGGGAUUCCAACUUACUAACCGCGAGAUCAUGACCUGAGCCGAAGUCAAGAGUCAGACACUUAACUGACUGAACCACCCAGGUGCCCUGGCUGUAUUUUCAAGUUUGUGCUCCAGGCAGUGCUGCAGAGCCAAAGACUUCUCCCUGGUCUGCCUGCCAGUUGUUAGUCCUCCAUUUCUCUUCUUUUUCCAGCCAAGCCCCAGGCCUUUACCUGGGGAAUGGAGGGAGAAGGGCCAACAACUUUUGUUAGCGGGGCUGGAGUGAAUAUAUAAGAGAGGGAGGGGCAGGCAGCUUUGAGCUCUGGCUGUGGGCACUAGCCACAGGGAGCCAUAGGAGGUUAAAGAGGUUGUGGAAACAGUCACUACUUUUUUUUUUUUUUUAAGUUUAUUUCCUUUUUUUUUUUUAAGUUUAUUUAUUUUGAGAGUGAAAGAGAGAGAGCAGGACAGGGGCAGAAGGAGAGAGAGAAUCUUAAAUCUUAAUCUCUCAGUGCAGAGCCCAAUGCAGGGCUGGAACCCAUGAACUUUGAGAUGGGCUGCUUAACCGACUGAGCCAUCCAGGCGCUCCAACAGUCACUACUUUUGCAAGCAGAGGGAAAGCAGAGCUGGUGGGACCAGGAGGAAGCAGCAGCACUAAACCGUGAGAACAGACUCACUCUGGAAAUCUAGUCCAGCUGCUUCUAAAUAAACUACCAAGAGAAUUCUUUUUUUUAAUUCAGAUUCUUUAUUUUGGUGACAAUGUUUUAGUCUCUGUAUCUGUAUCCUAGAAGGAGGACCAUAGUUCCUCCUGAAUAAUAAUUUUUAGUGUCUGGAAUUCCCCAACAUCAUGAUUUUUCCCUAGUUCCCCAUCUUCCACCAUUCUCUUUAGCUUUUAUCCACCCUUCAGGGAAGAUGGCACUUUUCCCUGAUUGAGGGAUGACAGAACCUAUUUUCUUCUAUGCUUUUGCUACUCAAGGUGUGCUCUGAUUCCCAGCAGCAUCUAGCUUAGUAGAAAUUCAGACUGCCUGUCCCUUUCCUAUGACCACCGAGUCAGAGUCUGCAUUUAAGGGGAUUCCUGGUGAUUUGCAUACACAUUAAAAUUAAGGAAGGGCUGGUCUAUACCCUACUACAGACCUGACUCAUAAUUUACAACCACCAACGCCUACAGGAUCCUAUAUUCACUGACCCUGACCACUAGUCCAGUCUGAUCUCACACCACUCUAUGCUCAUUUGCUAAUCCCAGCCUCCAAGCUUUUGCAUUCCCUGUUCCCUCUGCCUGGAGUGCUCUUAUCCCCUCAGUACAGCUAACUCCUUUAUUUCAUUACUUCAUAUAGAGACCACUCUGUAUGAAGAACCACCCACAACCCAGCCACUGUCUAUCCCAUUGCUCUGUUUCAUACUUUUUAAUGGCACUUGUUAUCUGGAAUCAUUUUAUUAAUUCCUUUUUGGGUAUGUUUUGUGGAGAGUUUUAUUUUCAGUGCCCAAGGCACUGGCACAUUGAGGUGCUUAGAAAAUAUUUAUUGGAUCAGGAAUGAGAUUUUGGGGAUCAUGAACAGUGAAGAGCUGUGCCCAGAGAAUUAUAUGGUAAGAUCAGGAAUCCUCUGAACCAACUCAACAGCUAUCAGUCAAUUGGCCUAAGAUCAAUACUUUUGAGUCCCAGAAAGAAAGUUCACAAAGCCUAGUCUUCACACCAGUAGCAUUCCCACAGGGAAAUUCCUACAGGGAACUUGGUAGAAAGGCAAAUUCUUGGGCCCCACCCCAGACAUACUCACAAACUGAUUCAUAAACUUAAAGAUUACCUUAAAUUGUUAAGUCCAGCAACCUGUGUCUUAACAAGGCCUUUAGAUGUUUCUGAUGCAUUGCCCUAGACAAUAUCAACAUCUUACCUGUGUGGAGAACCCAUAGUGUUCAGAGCCCUUUCACAUACAUCACUAUGCUUCUAGACUUUAAAAAAAAGCCCUGGGAAGUAGGCAAGGCAGGUGUCAUUCCCAUUUCACAGAUGAGGAAACUGAGCCCUAAGAAAUGAUUCCAUUUGCUUAUGGUCAUAUAGUUUUAUCAGAGUCACCUGGGAUACCUAGGCCUAUUUCAGACCUACGGGAAUGAGAAUCAGUGAAGGUAGGGCUCUGAAAUCUGGAUUUAAAAAAGAAAUAAGCUUUCUAGGAGACUAUGAAGCUCCUAAAAGUUUGAGAACUAAUUAUGCUAGAGAAUAGACAAAUGAGAAUUAGAACUCAUAGCCCCUUGUUGCUGAUAUACUUCUCUUACAGGGUCUUGAGAAGAAUAAGCACAAAUGAUACUGAACUUUACUGAAAAGAGUUAAACCAAAGUCCCAAUAAUUCCAUAACUUUUAUUAGACUCUGACUCUAUUUAUUACUCUUCUGGAUUAUGAGAUAAAGCCCAUGCUGUCAACUCAGAGCUUGCUUGGGAUUCUCUCCCUCUCUCUCCCUCUCUCUCUCUCUCUCUCUCUCUCCCUCUCCUCCGCCCCCCCCCCCCCCCCCCCCCCCCCCCCCCCGAAAUAAAUAAAUAAACAAGCAUUUUUUUAAAAAGAUACUUUACCUGUUUGGUGUACUCCUGUAGUCCUUUACCAACUGUUGUACUUAAUUUCCUUUGCUUACAUCUUCUAGUUAAGAAGAAAAUUUUAGAAAAAUAAAGUCUUUAAAGCUAAAAGCUACAGUUGUUAAAGCAAUCAUUACAACCUCAGACAUCAUUUAUUUACCUGGCUAGCCUGGAAAAGAUUAACUUUUAAAAGGACUUCUCCAAACUGUCAGAUAACUCCCAAGUCUCUCCUGCUCAACCAACUCCCACAAACUCGAGACUCAUAAAUUCAACUGUAUGUGGAACAGUUCUCUUCUGAAUGUCCUGCAGAUAUCUUAAGUAUAUCCAAAACCAAAUUCAUUACUAAGCCACCCAUUCUUCCUCCUGGAUACACUCUAUAAGCUAAUAACUAUACCAUUCACUGCAUCAUACUGGCUAGAAAUCUAGGCAUUGUCUCUCGAUUCCUUCCUUCCUCACUCUGCAUAGCCAAUCACUCCUUUCAUUUUACUCCUUAGAUUUCUCUCUAGUCCCUGUCUUCCUCUUCAUCUCUACCACAGCUCUACCUCAGACCUUCAUCAUCUCUGCUUAGGCCCCUUUGAUUAAGCUUCUACCUGACUUCAUUUCCCACCGUUCCUUUCUUCAGUGCUGCUGAACUGCUUUCACUACUCAGUGAGGUUUUGUGCUUAGGUGCCUUUGCAAGUGCUACUGCUGCUCCACUGAUUUUUCUUUCCCCAUUUCUUGUGUAUGGCAAGCAUGUUUUUCAUGGUACUUCUCAAUGUUCUCUUCUAUAUGAAGUCUUCCCUGUGAACUCUUGUAGAGUGGACCAUUCCCUACUUUGUGCUCCCAAUCGAACAUCUAGUCUGCCUUCAUUAUAGUACCUCACUCACUAGGUUGCAUGACUGCUUAUACUUUUUUCUCCCUCAACAGAGCAUUAGCUCCUUGAAGAAAGGGAACAUGUCUUAUUAAUGUUUGAAUCCCCAUCUCCUAGCACAGAACAGGGUCCAUCAGAUAUACUCAAAAAUGCGUUCAGUGAAGACCUGGCUAGAUUUCUGAAUUCUAGAGAUGGUUGAGGAUAAGAGGGACUGAAAUGUAUUGACAACUAUUAUGUGUGAAGAGCUUAACACCUAUUAUGUAUCUAAUUUUUACCAAUACUAGUUUGAAGUAAAUAUUAUCUUAAUAAUAUACGUGUUGAAACUUACACUCAAAGUAAUUAAAUCACUUGCUUGAAGUCUCAGUUUGUAAGUGAUAGUGCUUGGAGUUGAAUUCAGGCUUUUCUAGUUCCAAACUCCAUGCCCCUCCAGCCAUCUCAUGUCACCUCUAGUCGUGCCUUAACAUAAGCCAUAGGUUUUAAAAUGACUUCAUGCUCUGUUUGCAAAAUGUUAAAACAUAUUAUCUCAAAGAAUAGUGGUGGGGCACCUGGGUGGCUCGGUUGGUUAAGUGUCCAACUCUUGAUUUCAGCUCAAGUCAUGAUCUCAUGGUUUGUGAGAUUGAGCCCUGCGGUAGGCUCCAUGCUUUGAGCAUGGAGCCUGCUUGGGGUUCUUGCUCCCCUUCUUUGCCCCUCCCCAGAGAUGCAUUCUCUCCCUCUCUCUCUCUCUCUCUCUCUCUGUGUGUGUGUCUGUCUCUCUCGAAAUAAAUAAAUAAAAGUUAAAAAAAAAAAAAAAGAGAGUAGUGGUGGGGCACCUGGGUGGCUCAGCUGAUUGAGUGUCCAACUUCAGCUCAGGUCAUGAUCUCAUGGUUUGUGGGUUCAAGCCCCACAUUGGGCUCACUGCUGUUCAUGUGGAGCCGGCUUCAGAUCCUCUGUCCCCUCCCCUCUCUGCCCCUCCCCUGCUCUCUCUCUCUCUCAAAAAAAAAAAAAAAAAGAGUGGUGGUGAUAUUAUGUGUAAUAGGCAGUCUCCAAAGAUGAUCCCUAAUGAGCCCUGCCCCCUGAUAUUCAUGCCCUUUUAUAGUUCUCCUCCCAUGUAUCUAGGCUUAUUCUGUGUAGGCAGUAGAAUCAAACAGAAGUUGGGGCAUAAGAAUCCUUGCAAUGUGCACUGAAAUGCUUGUUUCAGGGAAAGGCAGCUGCCAUGUAACAGAUCUGACUCCCUGGAACCACCAUGUUGUAAGAAGUCCAUCUUGUCCACAUAGAAAGAGACCUUUGACCAGCCCCCAACUUUGCCAGCCCACCUCAGGUACCAGACAUGUGAAUAAAGAGGCCCUCUUAGAGGUUCAGCCCCAGCCACCAUCUGAUUACACCUGCAUGAGGAGCCAAAUAUUAUUCUCUCUCACAGAAUCAUGACAAAUAAUAAUACAUUGUUCUCUGAAGCCACUCAGUCUUGUGGCAGUUUGUUAGGCAGCAAUAGGAAACUAAAACAUCAUGGCUUUUUUUUUUUUUUAAGAAAAUGAACCUAAUAUUUAUAAACACAGCUUAUUAAGCUUAUUUUUGUUUCCUUUUAUAUAAGUACAGUCUGCAAUAUAAGUAGAUUUCUAGCUCAGUCCUUAACAAGGUUUAUGACCUUGAGCAAGUCUCUUUAUAAAACUGUCACUGAGCUUCUCUUGCCUCAGUUCUAAAAUGAAGGGCUUUACUAGUUAAUCACUAAAGUCCAUUCUAGUUCCACAGUUGUAUCGUUCUCUUCAAACUAUCAGAGAAAAACUGAAUCCUUGUCUGACAAGUUUUAACUUGCAGUAAAAUUUUACAGGCACAAGAGUUUUCAGCAAAGCAACCAAUGCCAGAGAAGUGCUGACUCAGCACAAUGCUGUCUGUUAGCAGGAGAAAAACCCACUCAGGAGCAACUGUAAAUCUGAUCCUUUCAGCUCCUUCUCCCUGAAGCAAAAUUCAAAGAGAUGAUUAUCUGUAACAAAACACUUGAAAGAGGAUUCUCAACUUCUUCUUAAAAAUCUGUCACUGAAGUCUGUGGGUGACUUCAGAUCUUUUGGUGGACUAUUCAGCACUGCAUGGUUGAAUCAGUCUCCGGAAGAUCCCUACACACAAAUGCUAAGUUUAGGGCAAGUGGACUGAGUGAUUCCUAGAGGAAAUAAACUCUCGCCUGAGAACAACAGCUGAAGUAAAAUCCCAUAAGCCAGGAAAACAGUCACACAAUCACAGUAACAGGUGGUCAGUUUCAAAACAAAUUUCAAGGUCUGACUUGUGUGGCACCUGCUCUAGAACCACAGACAGCAGUGUAACUCUGUCUGGGUUUGAGUUAGGUCAUCCCUGCCACACUAAAGGAAGAUUAACUACCUUUAUUAGCUGAGCUAAGGCAUGGUAGGUUAGGUGACCGUCUCUGUAGUAACCCUUGGGUUCCCUGUCAGAAAGGACGAGGGAAUGAGAGAAUUUGGGAAUCAGAAGGGAACGUGGCGAUUGGCUAGUUUGAUGCCCUUGGUAGCUGAGCGAAGUGAAGCCCAGACAGGUACAGAUUUGCUCAAGGUCACAUGACCUAUGGAAGCAGACCCCUCCACCCCCAAUUUUAUUAGGAAAAAUUUCAAAUACACAGCAAAGAAUAUUCGCAGGGAACACCAUUACCUAGAUUCUACUGUUACCAUUUCAUUAAACUUGUUUAUCACAUAUCUAUCUAUCUAACCAUCCUUUGAUCCUUCUACCUUAUUUUUUGGAUGCAUUUCAAAGUGAAUUGCAGACAUCUAUACUCUUUCCCUUAAAGCAGCAUUAUGUUUUAUCAUUAUUUGUCUAAUUGUUUGAUACUUCAGUUUUCUUUAUGUUAUGAAACCAGCCAAAAUUAGAAAAAAAAAUCACUGGACACAACGUAAGUUAGCAUUAGCUAGCUUGAAACACAACCCAACAUCCUAACUCCAGGGCCCUUCAGGAUUCUUCCUAAGAGCAAAUUCUAGAGGAGACAGAAAUACUGAUCAGUAUACAACACUGCAUAUGCUGCUGCUCCUACCUAGAAUCCUGCUUUUGCCUGUUCCCCCAGGAAUGACCUCACAUGUCUGCAAGUAACGGAGGCUACUGUUAUAAAUGUAGUCCUGUUUUAGGAGGAAACAGUUAUUUAAAAAAAUCUGAAAUGCCACCUCAUUCCCAAUGCCUUUCCUGAACCCUGAGUUUUGAGCUUUCUCAUUUGAACCCUCACACACCUCCCUUGCCACUUUUCCUGCUUCAUUCAACCCUUUUACAAUUUAGUAUGUCUUUGUUUAUCUAUCACUGGUACUGGUACUGCUACUGCUAUUACUAUGGUUUUAUUCCUCUGUGUGAGGGACCAUACCUUAAGACAUAUUUCUGAAAAAAAAAAAAAAAAAAGACAUAUUUCUGUAUUUCCUGAAGCUCCUUACAUAGAGUCAAUGUUGAAUAUUAACUGACUUCAAACUUCAAAUCAGGGGUGCCUAAGUGGCUUAGUCAGUUAAUUACCUGACUCUUGAUUUUGGCUCAGGUCAUGAUCUCAAGGUUUAUGAGAUCAAGCCCUGGUGGGGCUCUGCACUAAUGGCACAGAGCCUGCUUGGGAUUCUCUCUCUCCCUCUCUCUCUCUUCCCCUCCUGUGCUCAUUCGCUCUCUCUCAAAAUAAGUAAAAAAACUUUUAAAAAUUAAAAAAAAUUCAAACCAAUGUUUGGGCAGUUUUGUGAAAAUUAGAUCUUAAGGACCUGAGGGAUUUGUUUAAGUGCAGAUUUUUGGACCUCCUACUCUCAGAAAUGCUGACUCAGUAGGUUUGAGGUGGGGUCCAGGAAGCUGCAUGCAGUUUUAGCAAGUACCCCUGGUGAUUUCAAUGCAGGUAGCACAGAGAUUAUUCUUGGAGAAAUCUGCUCACAGGUACGAAUUACCACUGGCUUUAUCCAUUUUUAAACCAACAGGCCCAAUCUACCCGUUUCUUUGCUGGAUCCGGGGAUAAAGGUGUGGCUGCCACCGUGGGAUGUGACAGUCACGGCAUCAUCCCUCACCACAUCAUGUGCUGUCAGUCACCACUUCUGCUGUUGCCACCAGCCCCCGAGUUUCCCUUUGUCACUUCCCCCUUGCCACCACCAACUGCCACUACCUCUCUUGCCCCUCACCCUCCAAGGCUGAGUCAGAUCCACUGCGGAGCACUUGAGGAAACACAUUUUGGAAGACAGGAUGAGGGUGUUCACAUUCUACAUUCACAGCCUCAUGUCAGGGAGAAAAGGAACACCUAUUUCUGACCAUGGCUUCUUCAGAAGUUCUGCAAACCUGGUUAGAAAGUUGGGCCCGUGGUUUGGAGUUCCUGCUGCCUUUGAUUUUACAAUGAGUGGAAACCGAAAUUGAGUAACAGACCUCUUGCCCAAGCAUUAAGGGCCACCACAAAGCAUAGAGCAAUCAAUGGGACAGGAGCUCAUAAGAUGCAGUCACUCCCUCCUCCAAGCCCAGUGUUUCUGUGCAGGGAAUGACAAUUGCACUUAUCUCCAGUGUCUGGUAUUAACAGUACUUUUUAUAUAUGCUGAAAUUUACUUUUCAGGUGCCCAAAGGAUAGUAGUAAGAAAAACUAUGGACCAGAGAGUUGUUUCAUGAAGCAUAAACUGAAAUAUGUUUUGAGUUGAAUAUACUUGAAAUCAUUUUCUUUAAGACAUUCACAGCAUUGUCUUUUUUAGUUCAACGUAUUUCUUUAUUGUGGUAGUUCCCAAACUUCAACAGGCAUCAGAUUCAUCUGAAGGGCUGGAUCUCACUCACAGACUUUCUGAUUCUCUAGGUUUGGGAGGGGCCAAGAAUUUGCAUUUCUAACAACUUGCUAGAUGAUGCCAAUUCUGCUGAUCUGGAGAUCAUGCUUUGGGAAGCACUGCUCUAAGAGAAAAUAAAAUGGUGCUACUUAGGCUGUUCGCUGAUCUGCCUGCCUUGUCUUCUUAUAUCACAAUGGCUCAUAGCAGUGAUUCUUAGCCCUAGCUGCCCAUUAGAAUUAUCUGUGAAGCCUUUUAAACAUAAAGUCUGGGUAGCAUGCUCAGACCCUACCUUAGACCCAAAUAAAUCUGUAGCUCUGGGAUUGGGCCUGACAAUUUUUGAAAAAGAUCCCUGGAUAAUUCAAAUGGGCAUCCAUGAUUGAGAACCACAGGCAUAUAGCAAAUUCUGACCUUGUUCUGUGUUAACAUAUGAUUCUUAUUUGACAAAUAUUUAUUGACCACUCAAUACAUGUGGUAAAAAAUGACAAAGUAUCUAAGAAAUGGUCCCUGACCUCAAGCAGAGAUAGAUCACAUACCCAAACAUUUAAACAAAAAGCUGGUGUGUGGUGAGUGCCAAUUAGAAGAAUAAACCAUUACUGAAAACCGAAGGCUAGAUGAUCCAAGGUAAAUCAAUGCUGUACUAGAGCCUCACAUUGUUUGCGAUAAGUUAUGUAUGCCUUUGCCACACAGGAAACAUAUUCCUUUGGUGGGGGAAAUUGCUCAUUUAUUGGUUCAUUGAGGAUGCUCCAACUGAUUCACCAUGGUAGGUGUGAUUGAACCAUGGAAUUGAUAGAACAUUAAAUCAAUAGCUAGUCAGCUGGCAACUAUUCCUCUGCUAAGUAUGCUAUUAAGGUUCCAUUUCACAAACCCUGUGCUCAACAGAAGUGAAGAUUUUCAGUGGAGAAAUAAAACAAGAAUUAUGUUUAGAAACCACUUCAAUCUGGAAUUUUAAGUAAACAUUUCUUAAAUGUAUAGAAAAAAUACUUGAAUUUAUUUGUGAAUUAAAAGCUAAGGAUCUUAAAAACUGUGCACCUAUUUACAUCCACUGGAAUACAAAAUAAUUUAAUGAUUCAGUGAUAGCUGGCCCAUGAAGGGAGAGUUUAUAGAAAUGAGAUAAUAUCCUCUUCGGAUAUUACUUAUGUAUUAAUGGCAUUAUUUAAUUCAUUGUGCUCUUUAAUUCAGUUACUUUUUUUGAAAUCUUCUUUUCAUGUGGGGGACUUUUCCCAAGAAUAAGAGAUCCCAAGGACAACAAAAAGAUAAUUGUUUUCAAGAAAAGGAAAUAAAUACUUUUUAAACUGUUACAUUUAUUUCCAUUAAAAAACACUGGAGGCAGCAUUUUAGGCAUUGUGGGAGAUAACAUGAAUAUGACAAAAUAACUGGCUCUCAAGGAAACUUAUAACCUAGUAGAAGGGAAAGAUAAGUACCUAUUUGAAGCAAAAUAUGAUACAUGCCUUCAGAGAAGAAUAAAUUUUAAUGAGGCUUCAAAGAGCUGGAAGAAAAGGAGGUCAGGGUUCAAAGAGCCUAAGAUAAGGCGUAGAACUGGGCUGCUGGUGCAAUGCAUUACUGCACGGCCAAUUUUCAAAGGCCAGCUGUUCCCAGUCAAACGAAGACAGAAGAUGAGGGUGGAUGCAAUCAAUGGGAAAAUCAGGCCACCCUCCCUUAUUUUCCUGGCAAUGUAGUUUCAAGAUCAAUAGUUUUACAAUCUCAUUUCAGGAAGCAGAUGAAAAUGAAUCUGAUGCAUUUUCUUUAGUUCACUUCUUACUAACAAAAUCCAAUUUAAAGGAUUUUAUAUGUUGGCUAUAUGGCCACUAAUAUUUAAUAAAAAUGUCUAACCUCAUUAGUAUAAUCAAAGAAAUGAAAAUUAGAAUAGGAAUACAAUGGCUGUUUUUGGCUGAUCAAAUUGACAAUGAUUUUAUUUAUUUUUUAUUAUUUUUUAACGUUUAUUUAUUUUGAAAGGGAGAGAGAGUGCUUGUGUGCAGGAGGGGCAGAGAGAGAGGGAGAGAGAAUCCCAAAGGGCUCUGCACUGAUAGCAGGGAGCCUGAUGUGGGGAUCAAACUCACAAACCACGAGAUCAUGACCUGAGUUGAAAUCAAGAGUCAGAUGCUUAACCAAUUGAGCCACCAGGUGCCCCUCAUAUUGACAUAGAUUUUAGAUGACUACCAAAUGUUGGGGCCUCCUCCUCCUGCCUGUAGAGUGCUCUUGGUUCUGCCUUGUUUGCCACAACUGGAGGACAACCCAUAUUCUACAGUUAUCAAUUCUAGGAAUAUAUUCUAAGGAAAUAGUAUAUAUAUGUGCAAAUACUCAUGUAUGAAAAUAUUCCUCAGUGCUUUGUUGAUUAUUGGGAAAAAUCAGUAAAGCAAUAGGCCCAACAAUAGGUUAAUGAAUAUAAAAUGUAUUAGGCUAGGAAAGGAACAGUAGUGGUGCACUCACCUGGAAACCUAGAAACCGUGGUCUAUAAAAAAAAUCUUCCUGACUGUUUUAGGUAAGUCAGUCCCUUCUACCCAAGAUCAAUCCCCUUCUCUUCAUUAUCCCCUCUUCAGAUAUUCUGUAUUCCUCCAAAUAAGACUAGGUGCUUUAUGUGCCCUGAAUUGGUCCUCUACAUUUUUUCUGCCUCCUUGCCAUUGCUCAUGCCUUUCUCUGUGUCUGAAUGCCUUUCUUUAAUCUCUGAGGUCUCACAUCUUCAAGACCCAGUUUUGUAAGCCCCCUACGUGAUGCGAUAAUGAUAUUCCCCUACAUCAGCUAGACAGAAGGGUUUAUUCUCUUCUUGUACCAUCAGAGCAAUUUGGUUAUCUUCUAUGGCCCUUUUCACCCUCUGUACUAUAUUAGAAUGAUCUGAAUAUAUAUACUUUAUUUUCUCUAUUAGAUUUUGAACUAACUGAAGAUAAGGGCCAAUCUUGCUCAGAUUUAUAUCCCCUCAUAGUUCUAAAGCAUGUUGGGUAUGGUUGUUGAAUGAGGGAAUGAGUGAGUAAAUGCUACAAAAAUGCACUUGAAGCCAAAUUCUAAUGUUCUCCAUAGACAUAGGAUGAACUUGACUAGUGCUGAAGAUGCUCUUUGGUGCCUCCAUUUUGUAUGGUAUGGGGCCUGAAACCUUCCAUCUGAGCCAUGGUGAUGAGAACAGUGAAGACCAGGACUGAGGAGGAGUGGUCUGAGGGGGGAGGCCAGGAUGAUGAACCAAAACUACAAUUGUCCCCCAUCCUUACCUCCUCCCCUACCCAAUUAUUGGAAGAGCAAUAGGUUAGAAUUUUAACAACGAGGGAAAACUGAUGAAGACUUUUGCAAAGGAAAGUAAGCACUUCUGAUCAGUUAUCAGUUCUUUGACCAUCCCAAUAACAUAUGUGUUUUAAUCAGUAGGUCUUAAAAACAGAACAUUUGUCAACAAAAUGAAGAGAAGAGAUUAGCAGAUAAUUGAGGGGCAAAAUACAAAUGAAGUGUUUUCAAUGGGGAAGAAGGGACUUUGAAAGACUUUUAAUGAUGCACAUUGAUUUAUACAUUCCCAGAUUCAAUAGGCAGCAUAAAUGCCAUUCAUGUUGAUGGUGCAAAUGCCUUGAUGCUAUCAGUAAGGAAGUUAAUAAGCUGAGCAGCUGAACUACUAUUCAAAAUAGUGAAGCUUAAGUCUUGCUAAGGCAUUUUCUAUCCCCACCUGGUAUAACCUACAUGUCCUAUUAUACUUAGCAAUACACCUGCUGGCUUUUGUGGGCCUUCAGGAAAUGCCUUUACUUCCUGAAGAAUGCAACAAACUACAACACAAACACCACCAUGGCCAGCUGACACUAGACUGUAAACUGUAGUUACCUCUCUAAAAGGAUUAGGUGCUUGGGUGAUUAGUAUUUGUAGAUUGUGCAAUGGCCAAGUUCACAAAGGAAGUUCUUACAUUAAAAAAAAAAAAAUAUAUAUAUAUAUAUAUGCUAAUCCACAUAGUAUGGAUUCUAUAUAUGUCUUAUGAAUCCAUGUAUAUGUGUAUGUAUGCAUUUAUAAUUUUGGUGAGGGGCGUUACUUGUUUUCUCAUAAAGCUCCCUAGCGUGACAAAAUUAAACCUCACUGGAAUGGACUAUUUUUAUCAGUAAACAAAAACAAAAACUGCUUUUCACCAGACAAAGCUUCGGUCCCUCUGUCAAGCAACAGUGAUUUACCGAGCUAACAUGUGAGCAAAUGGGAAAUACUAUAUUUCCAGACUUGGGUAAUGAAUAACCUCUGAGGGCUUGAACUUUUCUCCGUUCCCACAGACUGCAUCCACAGAGCGGUGCUCUUGCCCUGAAAGGAAGGAUUUACUCCGGUUUGGAAGGAAGUGGAAUAAAUAGAACUGGAAGUGGCAAGGUCACCUUUAAUAUCAUAUGAACUGCCUCUUAACAAGCUUCACAAUUGCUUUGUUUCUUCCUCCCUGGGUUCUAUAAACAGGCAAAGUCAAAGCAAACUCCUAGAGCACACAGUGCGUGGAGGAAGCUCCCAGAGUGGUGAGGAAGGGGAGGCUGCAGGCUCCAUGGGGCCCAUCCCGCACGCCAGGGUUACAAUUGUGUUAUGGUGUGGUGGCCAGAAGGGAAAACUGCUUGUUUUUAAAGGAAGGAGUUAUAUUGUCCUAAAUUCCUGUGUAUAAAAUAUAGGACAAACAAGUUAGAGUGGGCAUAUUGGAGUAUGUGGAAUAUAUGGCAUAUUUGCCUUUCACUGGUCUUUUCCCUAUUAACUUUAAUUAUCACAUGGUGAGUGCAUAAAUACAAAAAUGUUAUUUUAAAAACGCUCUUCUCUAGGACCCUGUUCAGUUGGUAUUCCAAACACCAUGCAAGCUCUUUACUGGCAUUCUGCUUCAUAGAGUUUUCUUCUUUUCCAAGGUCCUUCAGCUACAUGCAGUUGGGCUUCCCUCUUUCUCUGUAGUUUUUCAUUUCUUUUUAAUGUCUCCUUACCGAGGAGAGGAAAGAAUAUCUAGUAUGGAAAAGGCACUAACCAUGUUGGGAUGCCAGAGGGUUGGGCAACAGACAGGACUGGAAUUUUGGUGUCCUGACUCUUAGUAAUUCUUAGGUAGUCCAAUGUGUAAGUCAUCUUGGAAGACAAUGUGAAUGAGUAGUACUGUCAUUAUCAAAGCAAAACAAUAAUUCAGAUUGGGCUUUGAGUCUAAGGUAACUUGGCAUGGCUUAAAUACAGAUUGUCAACGAAAGCAUGAACCAAACAAAACUGAGUUGGUACUUUGUAAAUUGUUACUUACCCCCUGUAUGGACUCCCCACAUUUGGCGAAGGUGUGUAGGAAAAUCUCCCUUAUAUUUCGAAAGUGCAGUAAAGCUAUGGAGUGGUGUAACUUCAAAAAAGUGUGAUUAAAAGAAUAUAAGAAAGAUACAAUAAGAGUCUCUAAGGGGUAGAAAGAGGGCAGUCUCUGUCUAAUCUGAAUUUUGGCCAUUUCUUUACACUUUCAAGAUAAUAUGAGUUCUUGGCAUUACAGAUAACGGGUCAGAGCUGAGCUGUUGUGGAAACUGCUAGAUGGAGCUAGAGCUGUUAUGUGGCCAAAUAUUUUGAUCUGUGGAUAACAUGCAAUAUUGAGAGAUUCUGAUCUCUGUUAAGUGUCCUAAAUUGUCUACAGAGCAGAGCAAACAUUGAGGCAUCAGCCUAGACAUUCUAACAAAUGUGCUCUACUAAAAUGCUAUGCUUGAAUGGACUUGACCAGGCUAAUCAACCUCUAAAGUGCAUCCUGCAUUAUAAUAGCUAUAAGACAAUCCCCGCUCNNNNNNNNNNNNNNNNNNNNNNNNNNNNNNNNNNNNNNNNNNNNNNNNNNNNNNNNNNNNNNNNNNNNNNNNNNNNNNNNNNNNNNNNNNNNNNNNNNNNNNNNNNNNNNNNNNNNNNNNNNNNNNNNNNNNNNNNNNNNNNNACCCCCCACCGCGUGCUUGUAAGAGGGGUGGGGUGGGGAAAGGGCGAGCUCUUCCUUUGUCCUCUGACCACCUAGAACAGCAUGGCUAAUUGCUUUGUCUAUCAUUAAGAAUCUUCAGUAUAUAGUGAGGUUGGAUGUGUGCACAUACAUACAUGCAUGCUCACAUUUACCUCAUAUCUUCACGUUUUUCACCUUUUCUAAAAUAUAGCAGCAAUGAAUCCAGACUGAAACUUGCCACACCUUUCAAUCCAACAACUCUUUUCCCUGAGGACAGUAGGGCAUCAUCCAAAUGUAGCAGCUGGGGAGUUGUGCUGUUAUUUCUUUUCAGAUGACAAAAUAGCAACACGCUUUAAUGAUGAUGAAACCCAGUUCUAUUUUUUUCUUUUCCCUUGUAGUUCUUUUCGUAGCAGGAAUCUGACACCGUUUACUCUUUGGGCAGUAAGUCCCCCAAGUCUGAACUAUGUGAUUGCAUGAGCCCUGCACCUUAUUCAUUAAGACUGCCCCCUUUGAAACGGAAUUGAUGAGUUUUCAGUGACCAUUCGUAGCAUUUGAGAUCCAUAGGCAUCAGGGCUUGAUGCAUGGCCCUCAUCUCCGUGAGCUUCUGUGCAAUGAUUCUCAUCUGUCUUGGUUAGAAAGUGAAUUAAUCUUGACCUUGGCCUCUGGGGUGUGGUUCUCUGUCCUCUCACACAUCUUCAACUCACUUUUUUAUCAGAGGCACUUCUUGUUUCAGGCCCAGGCUCCCCCCAUUUCAAUUUCAGCCUUUUGUCUUUAAACUACAUUGCUUUGAUUUUAACCAAAAUCUCUAUUUCUGGUAUUGUAUAUUAUAUUUCUAGAAAGUUCUCAUUCUUUAUAACUUAAUUAUGUGGAUCAUUAAAGCUUUGAAGGAUACUAAAGGGCAGAAAGAGAUUGACAAAAUACAAGUUAUUAUUAGGAAUUACAAAUCACUUAGCAUUUCAACAUCACUCGUCGGAUGUGGGCAUUUUGUUGAAAGAGACCUUGUUUUGAACAAUGACAGUGCAGAAGACCUUUGGAAGAAAGAGACUUCUAACCAGAUUUCUAUUGUUACAGCAUGCAUAGGAAAUUAUCACUUAUAUUUUGUUUCAAUAAGAUAAUAGAUUUAGAAAUACUACCAGCAGAAAACUUGAUGUAUUAGUGCUGUACCACCCCAGUCCAACGACUCAACUGUACUUAUUUCCAUCCAUACUUUCUGUGGAUGUAAAUGAUAUUUGUAUUUCACAAUGGAAGUAAAA
rnacentral:lncRNA from 1 species